AGCCCAUGGUGUGGACAUUUUCGAAACAAAUCUCUAAACUUGUCCCAUGUUUUAGAUAAUGAUUCAUCAUCCAAUUGACUAAAACUAGUAAUAUCCAUUCUAAGUUU